UACGUAGGGUGCAAGCGUUGUCCGGAAUUAUUGGGCGUAAAGAGCUCGUAGGCGGUUUGUCGCGUCUGCUGUGAAAACUCGGGGCUUAACUCCGGGCCUGCAGUGGGUACGGGCAGACUAGAGUGCGGUAGGGGAGACUGGAAUUCCUGGUGUAGCGGUGAAAUGCGCAGAUAUCAGGAGGAACACCAAUGGCGAAGGCAGCUCACUGGGACGGUACUGACGCUGAGGCGCGAAAGCGUGGGGAGCAAACAGG
rnacentral:rRNA from 1 species